rnacentral:lncRNA from 1 species
CUGGGGGUCUGUGCCGUGUCCAGAGCGUUCAUACGGGAGGGUGCAGCGCUGCAGUGUGCAGAAGUGUGGUGCACCCUUCAGGACGGAGAGAUGAGCAUUCACACAAAGCACGGAUGCGCAGACACAGUGACUCUGGACAGUCAGACACGCUGCCAUCUGCAGCGCUCAGAGAACUGCAUCCUGCUGGAGUUUCCUGAAAGGACGUUGCAUAUGCAGUUUGAGCUGGAGCACAGCUGUCUGCAGUGGCAUGAGCUCGUGCAGAAGGCCAUGUGCUCGAGCACAGAUGCACAGCAGCGCUCAGGAUCUGUGCCCUGCUCUGUAGACAGGUGCAUCUCUCACAUCACACAGUACGGGUUGAAGGUGGAAGGUUUGUAUCGGCGCUGUGGAGUCGCUCCUCAGAUCAGUAAGCUGGUCGAUGCUCUGAGCGUUUCUCCCAGAGGAACGCUUCUGGAAACAGACGAGCUCUCCAUCCUGGACAUUUCAGGAGCUCUGAAACAGAUCCUGCGGCAGAGCUUUGAGAUCAUACCGAACGCACACAGACCGCACUGGCUGAAAGCUGCAGGUACGUCUGUUCUCAGCCAUCAUUACUCUAUAAAA